rnacentral:lncRNA from 1 species
UUAAUUUGAACACAGAUACUUCGAUAAUACAGCCGGUCUAAAAGAUGACGAGUGUAUGUAUGUGUGUCAGUGUCUCGUAUCGUUUGAUAUAGGGUCAAAAUCUGUGAUGAUGAAGGUGUUUGUGUUAUAGACAAGAAUGAGGGAGAGAGAGAGAGAGAGGAUCCUCGUAAAAAGAAAAAAUAAAAAUAUGGAUGGUUGUGAUGAAGAGAGAGAGAGAGAGAUGAUACUGUAAUUAAUAGGAAGAUCCAUUCGACUAUUGUGGAUUAAAAGCAUGUUCCCCCGACAUUGUGGAUUACAAUUAAAUAGACUACUCGAUCGACCGAGCCAUAUCUUUUUGGUCAAUUCCUUUAAUUUCCUUUGAUUCCUUUUUUUUUUUUCUUUCUCACUACUUCAUCUUCACCAAUUCUUUGAAUCACUUGAGUGUCUUUACUCUUUC